CCGAGUUUACAACUCCCAAGCCCCUGUGAACAUACCUAUACGUUGCCUCGGCGGAUCAGCCCGCGCCCCGUAAAAAGGGACGGCCCGCCCGAGGAUCCCCUAAACUCUGUUUUUAUUGUAACUUCUGAGUAAACAAACAAAUAAAUCA
rnacentral:misc_RNA from 1 species